rnacentral:lncRNA from 1 species
GGGCCACACCUGUGGUAUACGAAAGUUCCCAGGCUAGGGGUCUAAUCAGAGCUGCAGCUGCCGGCCUACACAACAGUCACAGGAACAUGGGAUUAGAGCUGCACUGUGACCUACACUGCAACUCAUGGCAACAUUGGAUCCUUAAUCCCCUAAGCAAGGCUAGGGAUCACCACCACAUCCUUGUGGAUACUCGUCCAGUUCAUAACUCACUCAGCCAUAACAGGAACUCCCUAUGUGUGUUUCUAUUUAGAGCCGUCUUAUUUAAUGUGUACUGUUGAUUCACAAACAUUAAACUCAUGACCAACAGCACUGUGACUCAUGUCUGGACAAAGCUUAUCUAACACACCUGUUUCUCCGCAAGGCACAUUCCAGCCUUCUUUGAAUUCAUGAAUACGGAAUCUGCAAAUAACGAAGACUGAAUUGAAUGUAUUGUUAGUUCCCCUGUUUUACAGGUGGGGAAAAGAAUAGGAAAAGGUUACAGGAACAGAGGGGAGGGAGAGGUGGGAAAGUGUGUAAGACCUUUUUUAAAGGGAACUUUAGUGGGUGUUUAAAAUCAGGAAGCCUUCCUAAUGCUGAACUUGUUUAAGGGAAGUUUCAGGGCCAUUGCUUGCUACUUUGCCUACUGCCAAGACAAAAAAAGACUGCUCAUCACUGUGCACUCAAGUCCACUGCCAGCUUUGCAAGAAUCUAAUCUAAGGAACUGGGCCAUAUCUUUAUGGCAGAAAUAAGAACCAACUAGCACUAAUAGACCACCCAUGUGCCCUGUGCAGUUUAAGGGUGGCAGAGUUAGCAUGACAUGCUGGUAGCCAUGUGACAGAGGCAGCUUUGAAAAAAUGUCAUCUUUGUGCCAACCAAGUUCUACUUUUAUAAUUAUGUACAGCAGUGUGGUUUCCCAAAGUAGUCGAGACAUGUUCGGCAGUGUCCUGUAAGGCAAUUCUCAUUAAUUUAGGUUCAAGUUUCUUAAUGUCAAUUGCGUGUUUAAAAAACAAACAAGCAAACAAAAACCCACGUGUCUGAAUAAGCCAGGACAUUUGCUUAGCCAAAUGAAGACCAUAAACCAAUAAUAAUGGCUUUACAUUUUCCAAGCCCCUUAAAGCUUUUGAGGGCUUUCCCUGUUCAUUCUUUUUCUUGAGGCAUCUGCUCUGAUUACGAAGCAGAAAAUCCAAAUGGCCAUUUCUUGAUAUUUUCCAUUCAGGGAGGACCUGACCCUUCCACCUGCACAUGUACAAUCAUUAUAUCAGCCUUUUGAUGUCUGCACACAGUCUUCUCAGGGGCUCAAAAGGAGUUUCUGUUGCCCCAGAGACAAACACUAUUCCCAUGCAUUUAUGCAAUCAGAUCCCACGGCUGCUUCCACUGACUCACUGAAGCUGGGACACAUGCAUUCAGCAUCUACUUAAAUAGCACUUAUUGCCAUAGUAGCUAGGCACUUGGACAAGUUGGCUAUUUUUGCAAGAAAGUAGAAAAACAAUGUAGAUGAAAUAAAAAGAGGUCGGCGCUAAGGCCUGUCAGCGAUCAUCUUCCUUGGCAAGCAGAGUGGGAGGGUUAGAAUAAGGUCAAAUUGUCCCCAAGAAAAGGCGUCAGUCAUCUGGAAUGUUUUUGUUAUCCCAGACAGAAAUAGGUCACCUCGGCACGCUCCAAGUUGGCCAAUUAGAGAAAAGUUCUUGUGAAGUCAGAAAGAAAGGGAGUCGAUGUUGAGCAGAAGUCCUCUCCCCUCCCGAAGGAGGCGGCCCAGACUUCCUGGAGGAGGUAAACACAUCCGAGCCUUUUACAGGAAGUCUACCUCCUUUAAGCAGGGUCAGCUUGCAGGUUGGUGACAGGCUGUGCAGUUCUUAUGCAAACCCUGGCUGCAUUUUAUCUCCACUAACCCUCAGCAAAAGAUGCUGAGAAAGAACCCAGGGCAGGAGAGCAGACAGAUUUUUGUCUACAUUGAGAAGGAUUCUUGGGCUCUGUCUGGUUCAGAGAGAGAAAUGGCAUGAGGUGGUGCCAUCUGCCUUGGGGUUGGGGAGGACCGGAAAAGAGCAGGGUGGUGUGUUGGGCUUAACAGACAUCUCCAGGCAUAAGCUUUGGGGUCAAAGGCACUGAACUCAAAUAGCCAACACCCUCCUGACCAGCUGUCUAAAGGCUAAUCACCUCUUUGAGAUGCAUUUCCUCUUUUACAUAGGAGGUAACAACCAUGCUCACAAGGGAUGUUUUGAGGAUCAAUGACAUAGGGUUUGGAAAGUGGUUGAUACAUCUGAAAACCAUGCACACAUUUUUAUGAUCUAUAAUGACGGCAAUAUCUUUCACGUAGAGCGUUUCUAUCUACUUCACCAUCUAGUUCAAGGAAUUCACCCUCCACGCCAGUUAACCACACCCUAUCCUUCAUCUCGAGCGUUGCCAUUUUGUGGUAAUAAAUACUGACAGAAAUAAAUUUGUUAUUGAGAGGACUUGGAUAUGAUUAUCAGGGUUUUCAAGAGUUUUCUCUGAGGGCAUUUUAAUAGGAUUGGACCUGUCUCAAAAUGAAGCAUGUUCUUCAUAGACACACUCAGAUAGGAAUAUACAUCUAAGUAUGCCUAACAGAAUUCUACAAUUGUGCAAAUAAUACUUUGUGUCCAUAGGAGAAAGGUUUGUACCUCCAUGUGCUUAGGAAAAUAAUAAAUUUUGCCAAGUGACAGAAAAGCAAACUUGGCAUUUUUGCAUCCACUGCAUAAGAAACCCAAGACUGACUUUAUAAAGGAACAUAACCAAGUCCUCUUCUCCUAUUGGUUUAAAAAAAAAAAAAUUCUAGGCUAAGAAUAUCUGUGAUAGGCAAAGAAAUGGUCACUGUUUAUUUGCAGCUAUUACAUACUGAGUAUAAUACAUAUUCAGAAGGAAGCAUAAAUCAAAUAUGAACUCAAUAACUAGUAGCAAUGUAUUUUACUGGUUUCCCUGAAGUGGUUUGUUAGAUUGGGUUUUGCGUGUGUAUAUAGAAGACUUUUGUUGUAGGAACAGGUAAUCACAAAAUGCCAGUAUUUUUUAUUGCUUUAUUAACUACCUUACAGAAGAGUUGCCAGAAACAGAGUCACAGACCUAGAGAAUAGACUUGUGGUUGCCAAAGGGGUGGAGGUUAGGAGGUGGGAGAUGGAUGGAUUUGGGAGUUUGGAGUUAGUAGAUGCAAACUGUUAUGUAUAAAUGGACCAACAACAAGGUCCUGUUGUGCAGCACAGGGAACUUGAUUCAAUAUCCUGUGAUAAACCAUAAUGGAAAAGAAUAUGAAAAAGAACCUAAAUAUGUGUGUAUAACUGAAUCACCCUGCUGUACAUCAGAAACCAACACAACGUUGUAAAUCAACUACAUUUCAAUAAAAUCCAUUUUUUAUAAAAAAAGGGGGAGGCUUGUAAGCCUCAGAGACUUUCUUGGUAAAUUGUAUCAUUCAUUUAUUCAAUAAAUAUUUAUGGUAAGUCCUGUAUAAGGUAAAAAGAUAAAAGCAGCCCAGUUCUUGCCCAUAAGAAACUCUUCGCAAGAGAAACAACACCUGACCAAUGCCUCAAAGGAUGUGUGAGAUGGGGCUACACGGAGACAAGGCACAGGAACAUAAACUUGCUUUUAAUUAGAAAACUCCUAUCAGAAGCUAAUGGUACAAAAACUACAGAGGGCGCCCACUGGCAGGAAAUACUUAAAAUGCGUAAACUGCUAAUAAACAGUUCUUUAAAAAAAUGGCACAUUAUCAGCUUCGACUCCAUCGAUCAUCUAGAAUACUUAUCCAGAGUUGAACCAAUACAAGCAAAUACACCUUUCAAGCCAAGAGGCCUUCUUUCUCAACACUUGCCAAACCCCUGGAUCCCCAAGGCACAUGAAGUCACACAGAGGCAGCUCAAGCUCACCGAGGAGCGACAAAGAAUUCUUCACAUCUACUUUGAGAUGUCAGCACUUUCGCCGUGAUAUUUCUUCUCUUUUCUUCUUUGUUGUUAAAUUUCUCUGCAAUCGCUUUCCCCGCUUGCUAUAAGCCCCCUCCCCAUUCCCAGGUGUAGUAUAUUAUUGCUGCCCUUUAAACUACACUGUGACCCCCCCUCACCCCCAUCCUAUUAUAAAUUGAUGCACUACUUAUGGACCAAAUUGGAAUUGUAUGUCCUCCUUUGGGGUUGAAGAUUAUUAAUUGUUCUUAGUGAAUGAAUGAUAAGACCACUGCAGAACCAGAGAGAUAUAAAAACGUACCCACAAUUAUGCCUAUAUUAUUAUGAUAAUUUAUAGACCUACAAUGAAAGGAAUAGGUCAGACCCAGAGUCCAUUAAUCACACAAAUUAUACAAGAGGCUACGCUGGGUCUUGGAUCUACAUGCAGGAGAGAGGUAAGUCUGGGAAUGUAAAAGUGGAAAGUCGUUUGCAGGGACAGAAGCAAUGCAGCCAGAUUUGAGCAUUACAGUGCCAUUACCUAAGCCAAGCUUUCUUUGUCCCCUGCAGAAAGGGAGUACUGCUACUGAAUACUUGAUAUCUUGCGGUACUUAGCUUGACCUCAUUUUGAGGUGACUUGAAGUAAGACUAUCCUAUCAGAUCAAAUAGAAGAGGGUUUCUGAACUGUAAUUAAUAGCAUAUCUGAAGGCCAAAAAAUAUACAUUUCCAGAAUCACAGCCACAGAAGCAUGUACCUUUGCCCUGUGUAGUCUCCAUCCAAUGUUAUGGGGAAUUCACCACAAGGUUGGGGUGAGCCAUGGCAUGUGAACUGACAUGACAUUAUUCUUUCGUAUACUCGCGGAUAUCCUGAACAAGAUAUGGUAUGAAAAAAAAAAAAUCAUCCAUCACCACAGCCCCAUAGGUUUUUCUAAAGUGCCUCAAAAUACAUUUUAUAAAGUUCGGCGAAAUCUUGCUCAUUCCAACCUUUAAUCAGAAACAGUCAUCGGCAGGGUUCCCCGGAAUGGAUUUUUUCUCUCUUACACCCUGGAAGAUGUCUGUGGAUCUUAUCUACAAGAGUGUGUGUGCUUCUAUGAUUUGCUUCUCGCGUCUUUGAAAAUAUCAUCCAUAUUUUAAUUUGCUCUCAUCUCGGAUAUGUUUCCACUCGACUUUCAAUGUGGACGGGUGUUCUUCUCAGCAGUUUCCGGAACACCCCAACCGCUGUCUCUCUCUCGGUGAAUUAAAAAGCCACAGUUUGCUGGGUUGUACUCCCAGCACAGACCUAGCAUUUUAAAAUUUGUGGGGUUUUUGGAGUGCAGAGAAAAUAUAAGCCAUAUGUUCUCUAGAGGAAAAAAAUUAGGGGAA